rnacentral:rRNA from 1 species
UACGGGGGGGGGUAAGCGUUGCUCGGAAUUAUUGGGCGUAAAGGGCGCGUAGGCGGCCUUUCAAGUGACGGGUGAAAGCCCUCGGCUUAACCGAGGAACUGCCUGUCAGACUGGAAGGCUUGAGACCGGGAGAGGUGAGUGGAAUUCCCAGUGUAGCGGUGAAAUGCGUAGAUAUUGGGAGGAACACCAGUGGCGAAGGCGGCUCACUGGACCGGUACUGACGCUGAGGCGCGAAAGCGUGGGGAGCAAACAGG